GCGGGAAUAGCUCAGUUGAUAGAGCGCAGCCUUGCCAAGGCUGAGGUCGCGGGUUUGAGUCCCGUUUCCCGCU
rnacentral:tRNA from 1 species